AUGAAAAUGAGGAAAAAUUUAUUGGAAUUUAUGAUUACAACAUAUGAUAGUACUAAAAAGCGAUUUAUUAUUCGGCCAAAUACAGACUGCAUCAGUGUGCUUAAUGAAGAUGUUUACGACAUAUUCGGGCUACGUAACGAGGGUGAUGAUGUCAGUAGCAUGAUAGCAACAGUACAACUAGAUGCCAAAAAAAUGGUUCCGAAUCGGUUUCUAGACAAAAGAACAGGCCUAAUCCUCAUCGAUGAGUUGAUAAAAAAUAUUGUUGAUACUCAGUCAUAUGAUGAUGAUUUUGUGAGAAGGGUCGUACUGGUUCUUAUGGGUACAGUCUUAGCACCACAAUCCACCAAGUUUGUUCCUUAUCGUUAUUACAAAAUGAUGGAGGACGUGAACGCUAUCAAGUCAUACAAUUGGAACGAUUUUACGUUCAGGGUGUGCAUGGAUGCUAUUAAAAAAUCGGUCGAAGAUCUUGAAAAAUUCAAGUGGCCUAUCGGGAACUUGGCUCUUCUUCAGUAUAUAUACUGGGAAAAAGUUGAGCCAAUUGGUGUGGAUACAUUUGAUCCUUUGUCUCGUGAAUACACACUAAUGGUUAACUGGCCAGAAACGGAAGGGAAAAAGAGAGACGACUAUGACAACAUGCACGGGCGUGGCACCGGCAAUCUUGAAAAUUGCGUUAGCCAAGAGUACAGACGUGCUAAGGUAGCACGUGAAGGGACUGUCCCAGAUGAAGAAACGAAGAAACCUAAACGGAAAGGUGGUGGCAGGAGUAGAAAGCCAAGCACGUCAGGGGUUUCAUCGAACACGACUAACAGUAUGGACCGUGUGAUGACAUACAUAAAGCUGCUUCACAAGGAGAUGGUAAUGGAAAAGUUGAACACGGAAGGUGUGUUGUACAAACCCAAUAAGAGGGACAGUAAUGAUGAAUUUGUUAAUGUACGUCAAGAUGUUGGGAUGGAGAAUGGCCAGUACAAGUCAUCAAAAUAUUGGCCAGAUAUUGAUUCACCUACCGACGUGGAGCUAGUAACAUCUUUCACGUGUUUCAAUGAUACGGACGAGCCCGUUGAUGACACGGGUGCUCCGACGACGACACCGGGUAAAGGUGACGCUACUGAUCCUUUCAUUACACACGAUAAUGAAAAGUCCCCAUGUUCGUCAUCAACUGUAUGUACAAAAGAGUUUCCGUCUAUGUCCCGAACCCCGCAGAAUGUUGAUAUUUCUGAUGAGUCUAUGGGUGGUUUGUCACCAACAAAGUCUGAAGACAUGUCUGAGAGAUUCCCGGCAAAGAGCAACAUAGGUAAUGGUGAAGGCAGUCAGGACAAUGAAGGUAAACGCAAACGAAAUCCGUCGAAAUAUUGUCAAUCCCCGUACGACCUUCUCAUUACCCGCAAGAAAUGUGUUAAAAAAAAUCUGUUUGCAUCGUCACCAUAUUCAAUUCUGGCAAGUACUCUUAAUAUGACUCCGGAUCACAUAGAGGCAGCCAGAGUUUUUGUUGAGACUCUCGCAUCGACAAAGAAGUAUGCACACCGAACCGUGGUCGAUAUGCCGCCACCAGAUGGGGACAUAUGCACGCCAGCUAUGCUUCACGAUGUCCUCAAGUUUAAAUGGUUGAAUGGCGCUGCGUAUUUUCCUAUGCACGUUAAUGAUAAUCAUUGGAUAACCAUAGUGAUGCACACCGUCAAGGAGGAGUUUCAAGUUCUUGACUCAAAUUCUAAAGGCGCAAUUAGCCAAAGAAUUCGCAAUAUGAUUGGCACCCUGAGAGCUGAAAUAUCUAAGGAUAUUAUGGAGGCCAACUCUAUUCUUGAAUCAAAAAAAAUUCCAGAUGUCUCAUCGUGGCCAAUUAAUGAGUAUAAAAUGCCGGCACAACAUGAUGGGUAA
rnacentral:rRNA from 1 species